UACGGGGGGAGCAAGCGUUGUUCGGAUUUACUGGGCGUAAAGGGCGGGUAGGCGGCCACCGCAAGUCAGUUGUGAAAUCUCUGGGCUUAACCCAGAAAGGUCAACUGAUACUGCGGGGCUAGAGUGCAGAAGGGGCAACUGGAAUUCUCGGUGUAGCGGUGAAAUGCGUAGAUAUCGAGAGGAACACCUGCGGCGAAGGCGGGUUGCUGGGCUGACACUGACGCUGAACUGCGAAAGCGUGGGGAGCGAUCCGG
rnacentral:rRNA from 1 species